rnacentral:rRNA from 1 species
GCAGGCCUAACACAUGCAAGUCGAGCGGUAGAGAGAAGCUUGCUUCUCUUGAGAGCGGCGGACGGGUGAGUAAUGCCUAGGAAUCUGCCUGGUAGUGGGGGAUAACGUUCGGAAACGGACGCUAAUACCGCAUACGUCCUACGGGAGAAAGCAGGGGACCUUCGGGCCUUGCGCUAUCAGAUGAGCCUAGGUCGGAUUAGCUAGUUGGUGAGGUAAUGGCUCACCAAGGCGACGAUCCGUAACUGGUCUGAGAGGAUGAUCAGUCACACUGGAACUGAGACACGGUCCAGACUCCUACGGGAGGCAGCAGUGGGGAAUAUUGGACAAUGGGCGAAAGCCUGAUCCAGCCAUGCCGCGUGUGUGAAGAAGGUCUUCGGAUUGUAAAGCACUUUAAGUUGGGAGGAAGGGUUGUAGAUUAAUACUCUGCAAUUUUGACGUUACCGACAGAAUAAGCACCGGCUAACUCUGUGCCAGCAGCCGCGGUAAUACAGAGGGUGCAAGCGUUAAUCGGAAUUACUGGGCGUAAAGCGCGCGUAGGUGGUUUGUUAAGUUGGAUGUGAAAUCCCCGGGCUCAACCUGGGAACUGCAUUCAAAACUGACUGACUAGAGUAUGGUAGAGGGUGGGUGGGAAUUUCCUGUGUAGCGGUGAAAUGCGUAGAUAUAGGAAGGAACACCAGUGGCGAAGG